rnacentral:rRNA from 1 species
GACGAACGCUGGCGGCGUGCUUAACACAUGCAAGUCGAACGGAAAGGCCCUGCUUUUGUGGGGUGCUCGAGUGGCGAACGGGUGAGUAACACGUGAGUAACCUGCCCUUGACUUUGGGAUAACUUCAGGAAACUGGUGCUAAUACCGGAUAGGUGCUCCUGCUGCAUGGUGGGGGUUGGAAAGUUUCGGCGGUUGGGGAUGGACUCGGGGCUUAUCAGCUUGUUGGUGGGGUAGUGGCUGACCCAGGCUUUGACGGGUAGCCGGCCUGAGCGGGUGACCAGCCACAUUGGGACUGAGGUACGGCCCAGACUGCUACGGGGGGCAGCAGUGGGGAAUAUUACACAAUGGGGGGAAGCCUGAUGCAGCAACGCCGGGUGCGGGAUGACGGCCUUCGGGGUGUAAACCGCUUUCGCCUGUGACGAAGCGUGAGUGACGGUAAUGGGUAAAGAAGCACCGGCUAACUACGUG